GGAGAAGUCGCCCGGUUUCUGCUUGCUGGUCGCGAAAUUUUAUAGCUAUAAUUAACUCAGGGCGGAACAGCUAGCAGAAUCCUCAGCGUUCGGGCAAAGGGCAGAGAAUCCAGCCAGAAGCAACAUGUAGAUCUAAUGACCUUCUCCAGGAGUCGAGGACCCACUACCUCGCUGAAUUCUCAGAGUCAAAAUGCGUCUCUACCUGCUGGUCCCAGAACAGUCCCCUGCUGCUGCAUUGAAUGAAUCUCAUCUCACUUCCUCGAGUCAGCCCUACCUAUAUUUGAUGAUCACAAACCUUAUCCUUACGUUGCCAGCAGUAACAUUCUGCAUCCCUCACCCACUCCACUGUGUCCUUUUCCUCCCACUGAUCUUCACUCUGCCUUUUCUAGGGGAACUCUGAACAGUAUUUCUGAGAAGGGGAUGAAGAUCGUCUCCCAAGUAAAUAUGUUGAGUUUGACUGGGCACCGUGGCCCACACCUGUAAUCCCAGCACUUUGGGAGGCCAAGGCGGGCAGAUCACUUGAGGCCAGGAGUUCGAGACCACCCUGGCCAACAUGAUGAAACCCUGUCUCUACUAAAAAUACAAAAAUUGGCCCGGCAUGGUGGCAUGCACCUGUAAUCACAGCUACUCAGGAGGUUGAGGCAGGAAAAUCACUUGAACCUGGGAAGUGGAGGUUGCAGUGAGCCAUGAUCAUACCACUGCACUCCAGCCUGGGUGACAGAGUGAUACUCCGUGUCAAUAAUUAAAUAAGUAAAUAAAUAAGUUGAGGUCAACUUUCAAAUGAUCGUCAUGAGAAAGCUACACAGUAUUAAGUAAGUGUGGUUUAGCCAGAAGAAAAAGAACCAGGUAGAAUUCACACCCAGCUCUCGGUAGAUGGCAGAUUUCACUUUAGGGAACUGCUUUCCUUUGACCCCCUCCCCACUUGCUUUCUUGGCCUGGGAUCCUCACUCCAGCAUGUCGUGCAGUCUUCAGAAUGCGAUAUCCUUUUCCUUACGACUCUUCUAGCAAUUAAUGUAAUUUGCCUGAACAUUUAAAAAAUGACCUCUCAUAAUUUCAUAAUCUGAAUCUUUAUGUGUCUUUCUUGAUCCCCAGGGCAUAGAGAAGGUUACCUGGCCCAGACUAGAUGUGCAGUAAAUGGUUUUUGUAUGUGUGAAUGAAUGGAAGACUGAAGUUAGUUAUUAUAGAUGAGAUAUUAUGGGGCCAUUCCGAGUCCGGUAUUCAAGGAGUUUGCAAAGUUGCAGAUGACAAGUUUGCUAAUGUGUGCUGAGUGUUCGUGCCUAGUAGCAUGUUAAGUGGUUUGCUUGGGUUGUUUCAUUCAGUCCUCACAGCGGACUCGUGAAUUAAGUGCUGUUAUUAUCACGUUUUUGCAGAUGAGGAAACUGAGGCUCAAAGAAGAUAAUGUGCCCAAGGUCACCUCGCUAGGAAAGAGUGGAGCUGAGAUUUAAACUGUGACUUUAAGCCCAAGUUCAAGGCUUCUUACUAGUUUUAACUACAUUCCCAUACCCCUUUUAAUCAAUCAUGUAAAUAAAAUCUUAAUUCUUUUAAAAAAUUAAUAUGUGUUUCAGCUUGUCCUGUAGAGAAGACUAAUACUUACAAAUGGGAAAUAUUCGUCAAGCUUUAUUUUUUCUAGUUUGUCUUAUGAAAUUAAGUUUUUCAGCCUUUCCCAAUAUAAAGCUAUAUUUUAUAUUAAAUAUGCUUUUUAUUUAUUUUUUUGAGACGGAGUUUUGCGCUUUUUGCCCAGGCUGGAGUGCAAUGGCGCAAUCUCAGCUCACUGCAACCUCUGCCUCCCAGGUUCAAUCGAUUCUCCUGUCUCAGCCUCCCAAGUAGCUGGGAUUACAGGCGUGUGCCACCAAGCCCGGCUAAUUUUUGUACUUUUUAGUAGAGACAGGGUUUCACCAUAUUGUUCAGGCUGGUCUUGAACUCCUGACCUCGUGAUCCACCCACCCUUGGCCUCCCAAAGUGCUGGGAUUACAGGCAUGAGACACUGCGCCCAGCCAAGUCUUAGUUAUUUCUACAUGUAAGUAUUUCAUGAUCCGUUUGUGAUUUGGACAUCAAAUGCUGAGCAUAAUGCUUCGCUGACCUCACCUGAGACCUGCAUCCACUGAAUUUUUACUGUAUGUGCUUAGGGCCGAAUGUAAUUAAAGUCUUGUUUAUUUACUUCUUUUUUUUUUUUUUUUUUUGUAAAUAAGGUCUCCCGUUACGCAAGCUGGAGUGCAGUGGCAGGUUAAUAGCUCAUUGUAGCCUCAAAUGUAGCCUUCCCAGUAGCUAGUGAAGGCCUUUUUAGAGGGGCUCUUGCUUUGAACAGUAGCAAAUAUAUAUUUGCCAUUUUUGUAGUGAGUGUCUGCAUUUGUGCAGUAAAUGAGCUCAUGAGUAAACUGAGGAGUACAUGGACUCAUCUCCUCCUCUUUCUUUUCUUUUUUUUUUGGUUCAACAUAUUUCUGUUGAACAAAUGUACAUACACACUGAACAGCUAUAUCCUGUAGUUCAGUAUAUUUCUGUUGAAUGAAUGAGUCUCUACCACUUGUUUAUAAAUAUAAACAUUUAUGUAAUUUUAAUAGUGAAUAACAUACAUGUUUUGUAACUUGCUCUUUUCAUGUCAGCAUAUACAGAUCUGCAUCGUUAUUUAUAAUUGCUUUAUUGUACUCCUUUGUGGAAAUUCCCCUCUAUUUAAUCUAUUUAAUCUUAAUAGAGGGGAAAUUCCCCUCCAUUUAAUCUGUUCCCUACUGAUAAUCACUUAGAUUUUUGCCUUUUUAUUUUUUGUUUUGUUUUGUUUUCUUUUGAAACAGGGUCUCACUCUGUUGCCCAGGCUGGAGUACAGAGACUCGAUCACAGCUCACUGCAGCCUCAGACUCCUGGGCUUAAGUUGCCCAGGCUGGUCUUGAACUGAGCUCAAGCAGUCUGCCCACCUCAGCUUCCCAAAGUGCCGGGAUUACAGGUGUGAGCCACUGUGCCCAGCCUAUGUUUUUAUAUUAAACAGUGUUAUAGCAAAUACAAGUAUAUGUGCAUGUUUGCAGGAAUCGCUAGUGCAGAGUUUGCACAUUAUGAAUAGCCACUGCCAGGCUUUUCAAGUCCUUUUUUUACCAAUUUACAGUUUCACUGAAUUGGGUGAGGAAAUUUCCUGCCCUACACCCUCUGUCUCACUUUGUUUUGUGCUGCUGUAACAGAAUAUCUGAGACUGGGUAAUUUCUAAAGAACAAAGAUUUAUUCUUACAGUUCUCAACGCUGGGAAGUCCAAGGUCAAGGGGCCCACAUCUGGUGAGGGCCUUCUUGCUGCAUCAUCCCAUGGUGGAAGGUGGACGGGCAAGAGGGCAUGCUUGCCUGCAGGAGAGGAAGAGGGGGGAAGGGGCCUGUACUUAUUCUUUUAUCAGGAACCCCUCCUGCGAUAACUAACGCUUUCAUGAGGGCAGGGCCCCGUGACCCAUCCCCUCUUAAAAAUCCGCCCCCUCAACACUGCUGGAUGGGGAAUGAAGUUUCCAACACAUGAACUUUGGGGAACACAGUCAAACCAUAGCAUUCUGCCCCAGCCCCCCAAAUUCAUGUCCUCUCACAUGCAGAGUACAUUCAUUCCAUCCCAACAGGUUUAAUGUUUUCAUUUGUUCCAGCACCAAGUCAAGAGUCCAGAGUCUCAUUUGAAUCAGAUACAGGUGAGACUUUGGGCAAGAUUUCUCCUAAGGCAGAUUCCUCUCCGCCAUGGGCCUGGGAAAUUAAUGUGCUUCCAAAAUAUGAUGGUGGGUCAGGCAUAGGACAGCAAUUCCCAUUCCAAAGGGAUUCGUUUCCUGUUGUUGCUGUAACAAAUCACCACAAAGUUAAUGGCUUGAAGAAUACAAAUGGAUUAUCUCACAUUUCCGGAGAUCAGAAGUUCGAACCAGAUCUGCCUGCACUACAAUCAAGGUGGCAGCAGGGCUGAUGAAUGCCUUCCUGGACACGUGAGGGGAGCAUCUGCCUCCUCACCUUUUCCAGCUUCUUGGGUCUGCCCAUGUUCCUUGGCCUCUUCCUGCAUUUGUCAAAGCCAGCAGCAUUUAUGCUGUGCCUUUCUUCCAAAGUUGUGUCUUCACGGACUUCCUGGGCAACUAUGAAGGACCUCUGUGAUUACACUGGGCCUGUGGGGAUAAUCCACGCUAAUCUCCCUUUAUGCUGAUUAGCAACUUUCAUUCCAUCUCCAACCUUAAUUCCCCUUUGCUAUGUAAUCUAACACAUUCACAGGUUCUGGAGAUUCAGAAAUGGACAUUACUGGGGAGGGGAGAGCAUUUUUCUGCCUACUCUAGAUCCAAAUGUCAACCCAAGGCUGAACAGCCCUGAUUUCAAAGGACAUAUGCACACAUGACACAUAUCCACACGUACAUGCAUUAUACACACAUACCUGUACACAUUUAGACAGAUAUGUGGAGCAUCUUUACAGGUCAGAACACAAAUAUACACCUCUACCUCCUUUUUAUGGCUGCAGAGUAAGCCAUUCUGUGGAUAUACCAUGUUCUACUUAACUGCACGAAAGCAAGGCAGCACCACCAAACCCUCCAGCCUCAUAUUCAAUCUAACUGAACUGUGGACUGAAGACAGCUCAAGACCGUCAAACCUCCACAUCACAAACGGUUCCUCCAAGGCUGUAGGGAUCUACUUGAGCCUUCAUAAUAGCCAACAGUAGCAGCCAUAUUUGCUAGGUGCUUUCUAUGCCCCAGACACUCACUGGGUUGACACCUACAUCUAUUCUAAUUCUCAAACCAGGCAAAUCGGAUAGGAUCCACUAUUACUCCCAUUUUACAUAUAAGGAAAGUGAAACUCCAAGAGGUAACUUGCCCAGGACCCCAGCACUAAUAAGUGGGAUUGUGGGAUUCAAACCCAGAGGGCUUGACUAGCCACCCCUAGACUUAGUUUAUUUAAACCAGGGAGCAGACUACACCUGAAGGCUCAAUCCAGCUCACUGCCCAUUUUUUAUGGCCAGAAAGCUCAGAAGAGUGGUUAUUUUUAAAUGACUAGAAAAAACCCCAAAAGAAUAAUAAUAUUCGGUAACACGUGAAAAUUAUAUGAAAUUCAAAUUUCAGUGUACAUGAAAGUUUUAUUGGAACACAGCCAGGCUCCUGUGUUUAUGUGCUAUCUAUGGCGGCUUUCAGGCUACAACAGCAGAGUUGAGUUGUUGUGAUAGAUACCGCCGUGUGAUCUGCAGAGCUCAAAACUGACUCUCUAGCCAUUUAUCCUUUCUCCAGUCACAGAGAAUCUGGUCCUCAAUCUUUCUGACUGCUUCACGCUGAGAAGGGGCAUUGUGGGAUAAUGACGAAGAACGAAAACGUCAUGCCUAUAGCUGAAGUACUCACAAGUGCCUGGCUGGCAUCCAGCUUGAUGGAACAUGGUAAUAUGGGUCCUUUUAUCUUGGUUUUAGAGCAACAUUUCAAGCCAUGCUAAGAUGAUUAAUAACAUAGAUAACAUCCGGAUGCGGUGGCUCACACCUGUAAUCCUAGCACUUUGGGAGGCCGAGGUGGGUGGAUCACAAGGUCAAGAGAUCGAGACCAUCCUGGCCAACAUGGUGAAACUCCAUCUCUACUAAAAAUACAAAAAUUAGCUGGGCAUGGUGGCAUGUGCCUGUAGUCCCAGCUACUCGGGAGGCUGAGGCAGGAGAAUUGCUUGAAUCCAGGAGGUGGAGGUUGUAGUAAGCCAAGAUCACGCCACUGCACUCCAGCCUGGCAACAGAGCAAGACUAUGUCUCAAAAAAAAAAAAAAAUAAUAAUAAUAAUAAUAAUAGCCAGUGUGGUGGCACACGCCUGUAAUCCCAGCUACUCGGGAGGCUGAGGAAGGAGAAUCGCUUGAACCCGGGAGGUGGAGGUUGCAGUGAGCCGACAUCACGCCACUGCACUCCAGCCUGUGUAAUGGGAGCAAGGCUCCAUCUCAAAAACUAAAAAUAAAAAAUAACAUAGAUAAUAAAAAUUUUAAAAAUACCACAGAAUAUGGAGUGGAUCCCUUGGGAAAUCCAAGAGAAGACUCAGAGUUCUGUGUUCUCUGUAUGGUUUCUUAUUUCAGGUCUUUGGCUGGGCUUUGAAUACUAACUUAAGGCCGUAGAAGGGUUCACACAACCAUGAGUGUUUCCUCUAGAGGGAUCCAAGAGGGACUAGUUUUACUCCAGUACGAGACAGGACCUCCAGACUAAAGUCAGAUCCAACUGCGCUGGAUGUUUUACUUGGAGCCAACCAGAUGACUUCUAUGAACAAUAGGGAUGUCUUCCUGGUUUGGUGGCCUUGACUCUGGCUUAAGCUGUUCCUUGGAGCAAGUGGGCAGCAAUGUGGCCACAUCUCAAGUGUGCUCAUAAAUGGCACAGAAAAGGGGAAGAGUUCCCUAACGGUGAGAUAAAGGAGACUGAAGCCAGUAUGAAAUUCUUAAUAUCAGAGAAUGAGGGACUUCAAAAUCUUUGUAGUGACCUCAGAGAUACGUAGGAAGCAUCAGAGCUUCAGAUAUGGCAGCAAACUACAAGUUAUUGGCAUCAAUUACAACAGAAAGGCAGAAAUGAGCGUUCCUGAAGCAAGAAAGCAAGCACUGCAGGAUCGGUUGCAGGACCGGCAGCUAUUGGCAUCAAUUACAACAGAAAGGCAGAAAUGAGCGUUCCUAAAGCAAGAAAGCAAGCACUGCAGGAUGCGUUUUAGGACUGGCAGCUAUUGGCAUCAAUUACAACAGAAAGGCAGAAAUGAGCGUUCCUAAAGCAAGAAAGCAAGCACUGCAGGAUGCGUUUUAGGACUGGCAGCUAUUGGCAUCAAUUACAACAGAAAGGCAGAAAUGAGCAUUCCUAAAGCAAGAAAGCAAGCACUGCAGGAUGCAUUGCAGGACUGGCAGCUAUUGGCUUCAAUUACAGCAGAAAGGCAGAAAUGAGCGUUCCUAAAGCAAGAAAGCAAGCACUGCAGGAUGUGUUUUAGGACUGGCAGCUAUUGGCAUCAAUUACAACAGAAAGGCAGAAAUGAGCAUUCCUAAACCAAGAAAGCAAGCACUGCAGGAUGUGUUUUAGGACUGGCAGCUAUUGGCAUCAAUUACAACAGAAAGGCAGAAAUGAGCGUUCCUAAAGCAACAAAGCAAGCAUUGCAGGAUCGGCUGCAGGACCGGCAGCGAGUCCUGAAGUCAACACAUUCAGGGAGGCCAGAGGUUCCCAUCCACACUGCAUCCCCUCCAUUCGGGUGGUACCCAUCAUGCUUCCGUGUUCCACGAUGAGUACAUGGGUUUUUGUGACAUAAUUUCAUCACAGCAAUAAAUAGAUAGUCCAAUGAAGUUUUAAAACACAAGUUUCCAGUUGGCCACUGAAGGCAUAUUGCUCAGACUUCUAAAGUAGAAGGAACAAUUAGCUUUGAUGAAAAUGAAAUCUACAAACUACAAACACCAGAUACCAUCCAGGAGCUCAAGCAAAAGAGAAGUCAGGAUACUGAUGACCAUCCCCUGCUCUGACAGCACUUGAGAACUAUCGAGGAAAAUAAGCCAUUAGACUCCAGCACAAUGGCGACCCCACAGGGAAGUGCAGGGUCCCCCCAGGUUGUCACCAUCACCACGGCUCACGUUUAUUGAGCCCUUAUCAAUAAGAGCCUGCCACUGUUCCAGGUGCUUUGCAAGAAAUAGUUGCCUAAAAGUUUACAAUAACUCUAUAUUAUCAUCCUCAUGUUACAGAGAUGUGGAUAAGAUGUGGCACAGAGAAGUGACUUGCCCAAGGUUUCCUGGCUCUGCUCUGAAUCUCGGCAGUAUUACUUCAGGUACCCUGUCCUUAACCUACCUGAUACAUGCUUUACAAAUAUUAACCCACCUAAUCCUCAAGACAACUAUGAGACUGAUACUACUAUUAUACCCAUUUUAAAGAUUAGAAACCUAGGCACAGAGAAGCUCAUUAAAUUGUUGAGCAUUACAGACAUGACAGGAGGGGCCCUGAACACAAACCCAGGGUACCAGAAAGAGAUCCUGAAACUGGUGAUGGCUUCUGAGACCUACUAGAUGAGUUGGAAACCCGGAGACUGGAUAUUACAAGGGCACUCAGGGCAGGGAGAAGAGAGGGAAGAGAGAGCAGGGAGGAGCAGACACAGCUGACAUGGCUGGGGGAGAACCCCACCCCAUUGAAGCUCAGGUACACGGGGCCUACUGAAGUCUGUGAGCAAACUUACUUGCCCACAGGGUGGGCAGGAUUGCCGAGGGCCAGCCCAAUUCCAGGCCAUCAGGUGUGCAGACCCCGCUGAAGGACUGCAGAAAACAUGGAAAGGAACUCUGCUGGACUCCGGGCCUCCAAAUGAGUACCAGACAGCAAAUGUAAAAAAAAAAAAAAGAUCUUCAGAAAGGCUGUUACAUGCAUUUAAAGAAAAGAAAAACAGGCUUAGCAAACCAUGGCCACCCCACGCUGAGAAAGUAUGGUGAGACCCAAUGGAUGGAAACUACUGGAAGGCUGAUUUAGACUUGAUUGAACAGCGUCUUCCGGAGGAUUAGCAGUGCCAGAGUAGAUACCAUUGAACUAGAGUGUGUGAAUGGCAAGGAGGUUUCACCUCUGAAUCGGGGGAAGACAGAAUGUUUUCCCCAUUGGAGAAGUCAGCGACCAUAUUUCCACUAUGGAGGAAUCCAAGAACGGUCCGGCUUGGAUGGCACAAUCCACAUGGUUCUGCAUGACCUGCCACAGCUCCACAUCCAUGGGGACCAACCAGGGCCUGGGCAGCUGCUGGGCUCUCUUCUGAUGUGGACAGUGUCUUGCUCUGUCACCCAGGCUGGAGUGCAGCGGCACAAUCAUAGCUCACUGCAGCCUCAAACUCCUUCAAGGGAUCCUCCCCACUCUGCCUCCCAAAGCAUGAGGAAUAGAGACAUGAGUCAUUACUCCCAGCCAUUGUAAACUUCAUCUCCUUUAACACUUCCAAUAAUUGCAGGACAGACCAGAUAAUGGUUCUUCCUAUCUAUUGCUUCAAGUUUCAUUCUCAUUUUAAGUGAUUUAAGGUUGGCUUCUGUGAUUCUUCCUUAAAGUAAUGUUAAAGGUGUGACUUCAGUUUCAUUUAGAGUUCAUAAGAUGACUCUAAAUGACUAGCCAAGAUGACACAUUCAUCUGGAACCCCAGGGAAGACGGAAGUAAAACCCUCCUUUUUCUCCUAAAUAUCCCAAAAGGUUGGGUGCCCUAGGUCCAAGGGAUCUGCAAGCCUCCUAAAGAAAUUUCCAUUGUCCCUCCCGGCUGGUGUGAAUUGUAAUCUGGUAUCUAUAUCCCAGGAACAUUUAACAAACAUUAAAGAAACACCAUAAAGCUAACAAGCUGUUACCAACUGUGAAGUCAUUAGCUAGAGGAAUCUUGGAUUGUCCAAAAGACUGAAAAAGCCCAGGCAGAUCCCAUCUCUUCCUCAUAACUGUUCCACUGGAAAUUGUCAUUUUUCACAGGAGACUUUUCGUUUUUUUGGUGACAAGGUCUGGCUCUCUGUCACCGAAGCUGGAGUGCAAUGGCACCAUCUUGGCUCACUGCACCCUUGACUUCCCAUACUCAGGUGAUUGUCCCACCUCAGCCUCCUGAGUAGUUGGGACCACAAGAAUGCACCACCACGCCUAGCUAACUUUUUCUUUUAUUUAUGUAUUUUCAGAUAGGGUCUUACGCUGUUGCCCAUGCUGGAGUGCAGUGGUGUGAUUAUGGCUCACUGCAGCCUCCAACUCCUGGGCUGAAUCUAUCCUCCUACCUCAUCCUCCCGAAGUGCUGGGAUUACAGGCAUCAGCCACCAUACCUUGCCUUAAUUUUUAAAAAUUCUUUGUAGAGAUGGAGGUCUCUCUACAUUGCCCAGGCUGGUCUUGAAUUCCUGGGCUCAUGCAAUCGUCCUGACUCAGCCUCCCAAAGUGCUGGGAUUACGUGCACGAGCCAUCAUGCCCUGCCUUAAUUUUUAAAAAUUAACUGUAGAGACAGGGUCUCCCUCUCUUGCCCAGGUUGACCUUGAACUCCUGGGCUCAAACUAUCCUCCUGCCUCAGCCUCCCAAAGUGCUGGGAUUGCAGGCAUAAGCCACUACACCCAGCCUAACAUGAGGCAUUCUUUUUAUUUUUUUUUGAGACAGGGUCUCACUCUGUCAUACAGGCAGGUGGGUGGUGACAGCGACCAUGACCACGGGUCAACCUGGGCCUCAGACACUGGGGAAAGGUGGCCAUGUCCAGUUUUCUCAGGAAAUUAGGAGGCAGGUCAUCCGAGGAGAGAGGGUGUGUCUGGGGUAGGGUGGAGUAGCUUUCAGAAAAGUGUAAGUCUGGCAAAAGCACUCAGGAAAAUGGGACAGAAAAUGAGCCAAGCGCUGGAUGGCAGCGUUCAUUCAGCCCAGCUGAGCUUGGAGGCCAUGAAAUGCUGGCAGCCCCACACUGCAAGACUGCAGGGUCUUUCUGGGCCACGCCCCGAAUCCCAGGUAUGGAAGUGAAGGACCCAAAAAGAGGAACGAAUCAGGCUGUUAUUCUGCAGAACAGGUGAAAGAAAAAAGCCAAGUAGACAGAGCCUUGGAAGUCAAAGAGUCACCCACAUGCCUGACCCAGUCAGAAGAAAGGGGACCAAGCCAGGGCGGGAGGGACUGUGUGGGAAAGAGGAGGCUGAAAGGAGGAGAGACCGCGGGCAGAGGUGGACAAGGGACCAAGGUGAAGACCUUUGAGGUGCUUCUUGAACCACAGUGGUGAAUGUCUUUCUGGACAAGAGUGCCAGUGCCCACCGCCAUCACAGGACACAGCCCCAUCCGCACUCCCGGGACAGCAACAUCUCAUUGUCCCAAACUCUGCCAAUUUCAUCAGUGAAAAGUGGAGCCUGGAAGCUUUGCAUUUCUUCAAUGACUUCGAAUUUUUUAAAAUGGUCUCACAGAUUUCCUGGUCAUCGGUAUUUCAUCUGAAAAGUCUCUUUCUGUGAUAUCUGCUCAUUAGAGCGGAGUUCUUAAAAUUAUUAGAGAGUGUUAUACAUUCAGUAUAUUCACCUCUGUGGUGGUUGCUCUCAGUUUUGUCCAGUUAGUCAUUCAUCAUAAAUUUAACUUUGAUAUCAUAAUAAAACAGACAAAAGUGUAGUUAUUAUGUGCUUAAAUCUACAGGUGCUUUUUUAAAAAGUUCUUUUUAGAGACAGGGUUUUGCCCUGUCGCCCAGGCUGGAGUGCAGUGGCGCGAUCUUGGCUCACUUCAGCCUCCACCUCUUGGGUUCAAGCCAUCCUCCUGCCUCAAACUCCAGAGCAGCUGGGACUACAGGUGAAAAUAUCACAAUUAUAUGUUAGAGAGAGAGAGAAUGAAUCAUUGUAAAACAAUGAAAAGGUGAAGAAUGUCUGUUACCUGUGUAAGUAACAUCUACAUCAACCCUCACCUGAAGUUCCUCACCUCUUCCCUUGCUCUUUUCUUCAGCCCAAACACGGUGUUCAACGUUCUUCCCAGUCACCGCCCAAGGCCGCUGUCUUAGCCCUGCCGUCAUCACCUCUCUGAGCCUACUGCAGUAGCUUCCUAUCUGGGUUCCCUUUCCAUUCCUCCCGGGUCCCGACUCCAUCGGCUGCCAGUUGACUUCCCACAGCACCAACUUUUCUCAGCCUUCUGCCUAUGAGAGCUCCCCAAAUUCUACCACGGGAGCCCUCAAACCAUGAUCCUCCCCAAAACGUGAACAGCAGCUUCUCGAACCAUGGACAGAUGGCACAGAUGACAACCGAAGCCAAUCACCACUGCCUGUCCCUGGAAGUGGACGCUCCGGGUCAUGGGUGGCCAUGUAUCUCGGUCCUGCUAUCCUGGGUGGUUGGAGGAAUUCUAGCAGUGAGAGUUGAAAACCGCUCGGCGCGCGGCAAGAGAGGAUGAAGCCCGAGUCUGACCUGGGAAGGGAGCUGCUCCCCGGGCAGUGGACCCCAGGGCUGGCGGGGAGGCGGCCUCGGUCAGCCCAGUUGGUCUCGGGCCGCUGGGCCUCAGCCCCCAAGCCUGGUGCCCGCUGGCCCCGGAGGAGCUGUCCCGCCCCCUCCGGCACUCGCCUUCCGGGGCUUGGUCGGCUAGCUGCUUCACGCGCGCGGGCUGGGGGCCCCAACGGCGGACGAGCGCUGCUCCCACCGCUCCAGCGCCCAGACUGUAGCGGCUCCGCCUCCGCGGUCCGUUGGCCCCGCCCCCACGUCUCUUCCGGGGCCCCGCCCACCCCCUUCGGGCCCGCCCAGCACGGCCUCCCCUUGUGGCCUGGAGCCCCAGGCCGAGGGCGCAGAGACCAGAAGGCCGAGCUGGGCGGCGACCCCCGUUCUUGCCCGGUCACUUCCUGCGGCGCCGCCUGCCCGCUGGCAAACUGUGGCUGGGAGACCCUUUAAAUAGAACGUAUUAGCCAAAACUAGAAGAGCAAAAUAUGUACCAUGUUUCAAUUUAAUGGGAUUGCCAGGUGUUUUAAGGGUCCGCCGCAACGGUCCCUCGAGUCCCGGGGUUUUUGUCCCCAUCAGAUCAUUCGUGGUGUGGAUCUUCCGGGAGGUUAUGGGAAAGGGAGACCAGCAGCCGGCUCCGUGGGCGGCCAUACUGCUCCCCCAGGAAGGCCAGGCAAAUCUUCAGUGCUGGGAUCCCCCUAGUACGUUCAUUUUGUCUAGGGUCCAGGUGGGGCCAUCGAGCCCCUUGCCCACAGGAUUGGUCCUUUGGCAUGCAGAUAAGCAACACCGCCAAGAAAAGCCCAUGGGGUCUUUAGGCUGUUAGGAGACCACCAGGGAGCCAUUCCUAAAUCUUCCCAGGUGAUGGUUCCAAAAACCCUGGUGUUUGGGGAAAGGAAAAAGGGUUAUCCACAGGACUAUGCUGGAACACUUUCCCAAACAGUGUCUGCCUGGCUGUCCCAAGCAGCCGGUGAUGGAGCGAUGGUCAUGAGGCUAGACCAAAGACCACAGAGUCUAGCCUCACUCUAGUGGAACUCAGGCACCCACCCGUUAGGAUGUCGUGUUGCUGCUGCCCCCAGGUGGGAGCCUGGGAAACCACCUGGCCGACACGGGCCACACCUGAUGGGACCUCACAAGGAGAUACAGUCCAUUAACGUUCGUCAGGGUGGGAAGAAGUGGCAACACCUACUGAGAUAACAAAACUCAUUAGCUGAAGGGCAAGCUGGCCAGCAACUGGCAGUGAUGUUCUCAAUAGUCCUGGCCGCCUUAUAAAACCAGCUACUUAGGCCGGGCACGGUGGCUCACUCCUGUAAUCCCAGCACUUUGGGAGGCUGAAGUGGGUGGAUCACAAGGUCUAGGAGUUCAAGACCAACCUGGCCAGUAUGGUGAAACCCCGUCUCUACUAAAAAUACAAAAAUUAGCCUGGUGUGGUGGUGGGCGCCUGUAGUCCUAGCUACUUGGGAGGCUGGGGCAGGAGAAUCGCUUGAACCCGGGAGGAGGAGGUUGCAGUGAGCUGAGAUCGCGCCACUGCACUCCAGCCCGGGAGACAGAGCAAGACUCCGUCUCUAAAUAAAUAAAUAAACAAACAAACAAAACCAGCUACUUAGUAAAGGAGCAGCUAGUUAAAGCUAACCAGGGGUCCUCAAUCAAGGAUGGGCCACACUGUUUGUGAUGCCAAUCGUUUUAUUCACACUCUUUACUCCAUUGAUGAAAGAGGGAUUCCUUCCCCCCACGCUCCUGCCCCCGCCCCUGUCCCCACCCCCAGAGAUACGGGGAUGGCCGAACACACAACACUUGAUGCAGGACGGAUGCAAUCAACAGCAGCUGACUGGUCACAGAUACUCCAGUCCAGGGGAGAAGGACCCUGCACACUAUGCAGGGCAAUGUGGAGGCUACACUCCGGAACACGGUAACAAGGAGGGGCUGCUGGAGGCAGGCUUUGUAGUAACAAAAGUGCAGAGUGAGCCCUGGUUCCCACGGGAGGGUGUGACUGGCUUGUCUGAAUAAUUCGUCCUUGAGCUGGCAGGGAACUGAAGCCUACUGUUUGGGGAUAAGCAGGCUCUGUGUCUGAUCCCUAAAAUAAGGAGAGUGUUUAGCCAGAGAAUUUCAUCUGCGGAAGCAGACAGGGAGCGAGGCUUGGAGUUCAGCCAUUUGAGGCCCUCUUGAUUUAAAUGGAUGUAAAGACAGAAUUUGAUAUGAAUCCUAAUUUCAGGCCUUACACCACAAUACACUAUUAAAAAGUAAGUUUUCCGAGAACUAGUCAUUGAGUUCAGUGUCACAAGAUUUUAAAUAAACAUUCUAAACUCAACUGUGGCAUAGUGGUUCACGCCUGUAAUCCCAGCACUUUGGGAGGCCAAGAUGGGAGGAUUGCUUGAGCCAGAGGUUCGAGACCAGCCUGGGUAAGAUGGUAAGGCCCUAUCUCUACAAAAAAAAUAUAUAAAUUAGCCAGGUAUGGUGAUGAGAGCCUGUGGUCCCAGUUCCAUGGGAGGCUGAGGUGGGAGGACCACUUGAGGCUAGGAGGUCAAGGCUGCAUUGAGCCAUAUUCACGCUGCUGGGCUCCAGCCUGGGUGACAGAGUGAGACCUCAUCUCAAAAAAUAAAGAAAGAAGAUAAUUUCACCUAUUGCUUAACAUAGAAAAUGGGAGCCCUCAGAAUGAGACUCCCUUAACUUCCCCAAGAAACUUAACCAUCCUUUUUUACUCUUACAGUUGUGAAUGUCCUCCAGUAAAGACCACAUGAAACACUUUGUAGUUAAGCAAGUUGGGUUUAUUACUUGUUGCAAGGAGGGAAGACUCACACCAUGAGGAGCCUAUCAGUAAGAGGAUGUUAGACCUUUAGGAUCUGGGCUUUGGCUGGGUGAUUUGGGGGAGGGUCCAGGGGUUUGCUCUGGAUCGAGUGCUGAUAGGAGGUAGGAAAAUUCUAUCAUCCGGUAGCGGUAUCUUUUCUAGAAAGAGGUUUGGCUGGAGUAGGGCUAAAGCUACAAUGUGUAAAGAAGCCACAGUCACUCCUAUCAGCUGGGAGAAGGGAAUGUCUGGUAUUCUGUGGGUGGCACAGUGACCUUGCUUUUGUCCUUACACAGAAUGAUGACGUGGUCUCGUGUCAUCUCCUAUCAUCACCACUGCAGAGUGUCCUUGUGUGAGUGGUCUGCAUGAUUGUUUAUGUCCAAUAGGAGAACAACAUGGCCUUGUUGUGGGCACCAGCCAGCUUCCAAAAACAUACGGCCUGGCUCACAGCACCAGGCAAGCUCCUAGAAGUCAGUUUUGCUUUUCUGUUUUUCACAGUGGAGGAGGUGAGCCUUAAAGAGAUCGAUAAGGGUUUGCCCGGCAGAAGAAAACAGCGUGAGCAGAGGCAUGGAGUCUGCAGUAGAACUGCAUGUUAGGUGAACCUGAUAUAGGGUCAGGAGGGGUAGCAGGAGAGAUUUCUGGACAGGCUUUCACACAGUGAAUCGUGGAAGCUCCCCCAAAUCACCCAGCCAAAGCCCAAAUUAUAAAGAUCUAACAUCCUCUUACUGAUAUGUUCCUCAUGGUGUGAGUCUUCCCUCCUUGCAACAAGUAAUAAACCAAACUUGCUUGACUACAGAGUGUUUCUGGUGGUCGUUACUGGAGGACAUUCACAACUGUAACAGUGAAAAAGGAUGGUUAAGUUUCUUGGGGGAAGUUAAGGGAGUCUCAUUCUGAGGGCUCCCAUUUUCUAUGUUAAGCAAUAGGUGAAAUUAUCUUAUUUAUUUUUUGAGUACAAGUUUUAUCCUGAGGGAUUUGAAGUGAGGAACUGACAUGACCUGGGUUUGCAUUUCAGAAAAAUCCCCAGCAGCUGCGUGGGAGAAGGCUUGGUGACAAAGGGGAAGCCUCCUUUUCUUUCCCACACCCACAGCCCCUGCACCUGCUGUCCUCGCUCAUCCGAUCUAUUGCAACACAUCCUUAUUCUACCUUUGGCCAGGGUGAUUUUUCAGAAUCACAGAUCUUUUCCUGUAACUUCCUUAAAACCUUUUGAUUCCCAAUCAAUUACCAGUGAAAAAUCUGCACUUCAUUGCCUGACACACAAACUGUACCUUUCAUCAUCUGUUCCCUCUAGCCUGGUAUCUGGCUUUGCAUUAGUUAAUUCUUGCACUGCUAAAAAGAAAUACCUGAGACUGGGUAAUUUAUAAAGAAGAAAUGUGUGUGUGGUUUGUUUUUUGUUUUGUUUUGUUGUUGUUGUUGUUUUUGAGACAGAGUUUCGCUCUUGUUGCCCAGGCUGGAGUGCAAUGGUGCAAUCUCAGCUCACUGCAACCUCCG
rnacentral:lncRNA from 1 species